GUGUGUGUGUGUGUGUGUAAGGCGGAGGCGAGGCUGGCGGCGAAGCGAGCAGCGAGAGCCGAGGCCCGAGACAUCAGGAUGAAGGAGCUGGAGCGGCAACAGAAAGAGAGGUAUUAUGGUCUGGAUAGUAAGUGGGGUCACAUUGAACAGUGGAUGGAGGACAGUGAGCGGUAUUCUCGCCACUCACGGAGACACACCUCGGUCUGUAUCGCUCUCCUCUGUCCUACAAAAUAUAUA